rnacentral:rRNA from 1 species
UACGAAGGGGGCUAGCGUUGUUCGGAAUUACUGGGCGUAAAGCGCGCGCAGGCGGUCUUCCAAGUCAGUGGUGAAAGCCCGGAGCUCAACUCCGGAACUGCCAUUGAAACUGUUAGACUUGAGGAUGAGAGAGGUGAGUGGAAUUCCCAGUGUAGAGGUGAAAUUCGUAGAUAUUGGGAAGAACACCGGUGGCGAAGGCGGCUAUCUGGACCGACAUUGACGCUGAGGCGCGAAAGCGUGGGGAGCAAACAGG